rnacentral:lncRNA from 1 species
GGGUUAGAAACGUUUUAAAUGAAAUGUUUUCGAAAAAAUUUGUUUUACUGACCCACUCAAAUUUGUUUUGCGCCCCUCCAGGUUCCAGAUAGCAGAGCUUUGGUGGCCACGAGGAAUCCAACGGUGUUCUGACAGAAUUCACAAAAGUAGGACUCACCCUCGAGUGUUUCAUCUUAGUAAUUGUUUCUUUUUAAAGAUUCCGAACUGUGUAAAUGGUUACGUCACUCUCACGUGAUGGCCAGCAUGCCCUCCUUCGGG